UGGGGAAUAUUGGGCAAUGGGCGAAAGCCUGACCCAGCAACGCCGCGUGAAGGAAGAAGGCUUUCGGGUUGUAAACUUCUUUUAUCGGGGACGAAACAAAUGACGGUACCUGAUGAAUAAGCCACGGCUAACUACGUGCCAGCAGCCGCGGUAAUACGUAGGUGGCAAGCGUUAUCCGGAUUUACUGGGUGUAAAGGGCGUGUAGGCGGGACUGCAAGUCAGAUGUGAAAAUUAUGGGCUCAACCCAUAACCUGCAUUUGAAACUGUGGUUCUUGAGUGAUGGAGAGGCAGGCGGAAUUCCGUGUGUAGCGGUGAAAUGCGUAGAUAUACGGAGGAACACCAGUGGCGAAGGCGGCCUGCUGGACAUUAACUGACGCUGAGGCGCGAAAGCGUGGGGAGCAAACA
rnacentral:rRNA from 1 species